rnacentral:rRNA from 1 species
AAGGGCACCACAAGAACGUGGAGCAUGUGGCUUAAUUUGACUCAACGCGGGAAAUCUUACCGGGUCCGGACACACUGAGGAUUGACAGGCAAUAUUAAUACUUUGCUUCGGCAUUGUAUUAUGUUAAAUAUGCUAGUCCUUUCAUGAUUAUGUGAUAGGUGGUGCAUGGCCGUUCUUAGUUCGUGGAGUGAUCUGUCUGCUUAAUUGCGUUUCACUAAGGGCCUAUAAAUUUACGUAUGUUGUAUCGCACUUUGACCCCUUUCUUUAAUUAGAAAGCGCGUGUCUUAGUUUCGCUUUGCUCAUACAAUUAGGUCCUGAAAGCAACGAACGUGACCGCAACCUCUUGUUGCCUUUAUACCAAACAUGUUUAUUCAUUUUUUAAUGUUCAUUCAUGAAAAAAGGCUUUUUAAACUAGAGGGACCGCUGUUACUUUCUUAAACCAGAGGAAGGUUGCGGCAAUAACAGGUCUGUGAUGCCCUUAGAUGUUCCGGGCUGCACACGUGCUACAAUGAUUAUUGCAGUGAGCAUCUCAUUUUUACACACCGCAUGCGCGAGUCCAUUUAUUCACCUUCGGGUGUUUUAAAUGUGUACCUCUGCGCGCGGUAAAGCCUGCUUCGAAAGUAAGUGGGUAAUCAAUUAGAAGUAAUGAUUUCCUUUUUUAGCACACAUAUAUACGGCGUCUAUGCCCGGGUUACCUUGUUGUAGCUUUUGUGUGUAUAGAUGUUUUUUCCGUAUGUGCGAUUGUCAAUUCAUGGUGGGGACAGACCAUUGUUAAUUGUUGGUCUCGGUCUUAACUAGGAAUGCCUUGUACGGGUCUUUGGUUCAACAAACCACCCGGAAUACGUCCCUGCCCUUUGUACACACCGCCCGUCGCUCUUACCGAUGGACUUCUCUGUGAGUUUGAGGGACUGGGAACGCAGGAAUUUAUUUCUGCACACCUAUGGAAACUUAAACGAACAGUGUGGUCUAAAGGAAAGAGAAGUCGUAACAAGGCAUCGGUAGGUGAACCUGCAGAAGGAU